ensembl:lncRNA
GGAUCCGAGCCGCGUCUGCAACCUACACCACAGCUCACGGCAACGCAGGAUCCUUAACCCACUGAGCGAGGCCAGGGACCGAACCCGCAACAUCAUGGUUCCUAGUCGGAUUCGUUAACCACUGCGCCACGACGGGAACUCCUGAAGUGUUUUUUAAUUCAGGCAUGUACAUUGUUUUUAAUUCAGGCAUGUACAUUGUUUUUUAAACAGAAUGCUAGUGCACACUUAGAUUACAGGAGUGUAUAAACAUGACGUUCACAGGCCCUAGGAAACCAAAAACUGUAAUGUGACUUGCUUUAACCGCAGGAUUGGCUUUGUUGUAGUGGCCUGGAACCAAACCCCCAAUUCCACCUCUGAGAUAUGCCUGUGUGUGAGAUCAUUCCCACCCUACAGACUUUCAAGGUCUUUGGACUCUCGUAGAAAGAGAGCUGCUUAUUUUAAGAUGUAAAAUCCAUUUUAGUGACGGCCAGAGAGUAGGGGAUACAGAUCUCCGGGAGUGGACAGAAAAAGCCGUCAUAUUUGCCUUUAAUCUAAGAGAUGCAGGACAAGGGAAAUCCGCCUCUUUAAACUGUGGCCUCAUUUACACAGUGACCAGUGCCUGGUGGGGAUCUGUGGACAGUCACGGGCAGGCCACGACGCUGAUGCCAGCGAACAGAAGUUUCCAAAGAGCCCUGGCGCGUGGAAGGUUCUGGAAGGCAGAGGGGAGGGCUAGCCUUCUUUCUUUUCUUGGACCAUGUGAGGGAGCACUUUUUCACCCAAAGAAGGUUUAAAAUAAAGCACAGAAAUGUUUAAGAAAAUGAGAUCUGUCAAAAUAAUUUUUUUCUUUGAAAAGAAGAAAUCAAUGCAGAUCUCGUAAUUUAAAUAUUUGUUACAAUUAAGAGAAUUGGUCGAUGAGAAUAACAACCAGUCUUGAAACAUCAACUUAAAAUGCAGAAUAACCAAUCUGGACUUUGAUUUUAAGUCAAAAAUCCCACUCAUGUCUAUACAGUAUAAGAAAACUUAGAAGCCGGUGGGUGUAACAUACUUAUAAGCUUAAUUAGAUUUAUAAGAAUUACUUAAGUGCUCUGGGAGGCUUGUUUGUGGAAUCAGGCAAUUGAGUACUUAUAAAUUUAAUAUGUUCGAUUUCCUUUACAAAUGCAGUUUAAAAUGUUUGAAGGAGUUUAAUUAGCUAAGUUUGCAAAUCAGGCCAAACGUUAAUAAAAGGGUCCCCUUAAAAGUGAUUGUUAAAAAUUGCUAGGCUUAUAAAUAAAAUAAUGAGGUCUCGGAACAGCUCUUAAAAGCACAAAGAACAGUAAGGUUUUAGAUUUUAUAACUUUAAUCAAAAUUAGUUUUAAAAAGGAAAUAUGAGAAUAACUUUUUUUUUUCCCUCAAAAUGCUGAUGCCACCUUGCCAAAAAUCAUUAGGCGCCUAAAUUAUCUUACCUCAUUACUGCCCACCUAAAAAAUUUAUCCUUUUGAGGUAUUCAGUCUUCAAUAAGAGUUUAUGGAUAUACCUACUGUGUAGCAGAUAUUGUGUGAGGCAUAGCUGAGCAUGCCUUGGCUCCUACAAGCACCGGGUAGGAGAGAUUAACAUAGGCGUUCAAAUGAGAAUAUGCACACAAAUUGUUCCUUAGAAAACAGGUGACAAGUGAUGAAGGUAUAAAGCAAAACUGGAAUUCAGAGGAAGAUCAUCAACGAAGGCAUCAUAAUGGAAGAAACAUUUAAACUGAAUCUCGUUUGGAAUUAGCUUUUGAAGGCUCGUGCGAUUUCUUGCUACUCCUGCUGCCCUGAGUUUGCCAUACACAUAACUGAUGCUUCUACUAUCCUGUGCACUGGAAACUCAGGUUUUACAAGUCUGUUAGAAUUACGUGUAAAGUAAAGGUUAAUGGGAUGUGAGGGAAAGUCCACAGGGCUCUCUUAAGAGGGUUUAUUUUAUGGAUGUUGUGACAUCUUCGCUCAGCAUUCUUUCUGUUUUCUCUGAGAGCCUGGUUUUCUAUUUCCUACCCACCGUAUUGGUGAGGUUGCCAGAUAAGAGACUUCUAGAUAAGUACCCUACCACCAGAAAUAGGUUUAUGACGGAGUAAUUUUAGAUGAUGAAUGAAAGCUUGUUUUACUUCUAAAAUUAAGUCCAAAAGGCAAGGAUGCCAUGCUUGUGACAAAACGGUAAAUCCCCAAAUGAGAGGGAAGAGAAAGGGGAAAGCUAAUGGUCUCUGACCACAGGUCCCCCAGGGGGACCUUUACUUACUUGCUAGAAGAACGUGACUAUUAGGAAUUCGAAAUUAUUUUCCAUUAAGUGUGACGUUGAAUUGGGUCUGCUUCCCCCAUCCGACUCCCCAAUUCAUUAGUACAUUGAUGCCCCACCCAGCAUCUUACAACCAAAUCUUAUUUGGAAAUAGGGUUGCUGCAGAUACAAUUAGUUAAGAUGAGGUCAUGUUGGAGUAGGAUGGGUCCCUAAUCCACUAUGACCAGGGUCCUUAUACAAAAGGGCUAUCUGGACACACACAGCAGAAGCACAAGGGAAAUGCCACGUGAAGUGGGGUGCAAUGCCCCACAGGCAAAGAAAGUUCCAGAACCUGGGAGAGCGGCCAGGAGGGCAUCCUUCUUGCCUCCUGCCUUCAGAGGGAGCUCGGCUCGGCCAGCACCCUGGUCUCAGACUUCCUGCCUCCAGAACUCCGAGCACCAGCGUCUGCUGGGUGAGGCAGCUACUUGGUGGUGCUUUGCUAGGGCCGUCCUGGGACACGAACUCGUUAAGUGAGAGCCAGAGGGAGGAGCUACUUUGGGAAUAUCCCAUUAAAUUCCACCACAGACAAACUCACAUUCAAUGUCGCACAUUCUUAAAACCCCAAAUGAGGCUUCAAGCAAAACAAGAAUGACCUCGGUCAAGAGGCAGCAUCCAGACAUGAGGUGUUUGAAGCUGUUUGGGGGUCUGGCAGCCUCUCAUUUGUCCGACCCAGAAUCUUUCUGUCUCAAAAACUAGAGCGACGGUGGCCACAAUAUUGACACACUCCGUAAGGUGGNGUGGAUCCUCCUCGCAGUCUACACUGAGCGCGCUCUUGUGCAAUAUUUCACCGGUCAGCCUCCCUUCACGGCGCUGACUCCAUCUAGAUAAAAUCGGACUGAUCAGUUUUCCCCAUUCGGUCAUGUGGGGUUUCUCCCCGUGCACGUGAUAGGACUAUUCAGGGAACCAAGGAUGUGUUUGCAGGAUAUCAACGGUGUCGUUUUUCAAAGAUUCCAGAACAGUGGUUCUUCUGAGAUUUUAGGAGGUGAUGGUGGCAGACAAAGACCCCAGGGGGUCCUGACCUUGUGUAAUCUCCCUCCGUCUGAGUACAGAUGCAGGUAUUCCUGGCUUCUAGUCAUAAAAUCUGGCAAAGGCGAUGGGUGGGGCAGUCACUCCCCAAGUCACAUUCCAUCCUAUAGGACUGUGCUGGAGCAGACCGGAGUCAGAGGUUCUCUUGCUGACCAUGAGGUCGCAACCCGAUUGUGAGGGUCUGGGAGGGGGCCACGUGGCGGGGACUGUGCAGGUCUCUAUCUGCUGAGAGGACUCUACCAGACAGCCAGCAAGAUCUGGCUGGCGAGGAUCUGGAUUCUGGCAGCAACUGUAUGAGCCUGAAGAAGGACCCAACUCCAGAAGGGACCACAGCCCUGGGACACUUGCUUGCUGCCUGGUGCGACCCUGGACACCUCAAGUGGGGCCUGGACUCCCGACCCAGGGUGAUUGUGAGAUGAUAACCCUGUGUGCUGUUUGAAGAUGCUGUUAGCGGUAACUCGCUAUGCAAAAGUGAAAACCGAUGCUGUGACGUGUCCUUUGGAACGUGACCCACAACAGUGCUCAUCUCAUGAACCCUGUGCAAGGGCAAAGCCAAUUCAGACUCCGUCAAGGACUUCGUGAGAUAAAAGAAGUAGAGAAACAAACAUGCUCCCAACCCAAACAAGACUCCUGCGGCACCAGCAUAUGUUUGUGAUUCUUCGGCUCUGACUGUGGGACUACACGCGCUCAGCAGACAAAACCCUCUUCUAUCCCGGGGGCUGCGGGGUCACCUAAGUGGUAUAAAGAAGGACAGUGGGGUCCAUCCUUGCCCAGGUGCACACUGUAAUCCCCCUCAGGCUGGAGAUGGAAGACGGGCUGUGGGGACAAACAGGCUGCACUUGGGCAGGAGCCAAAUGCGAAGACCCCUCACUAGCAGGAAAUUGACUUGCAAGGCCUUGUCUUCAGUGGGCGUGAGGUCUCCCUGGCCCAUCUGCUCUGCCAGGGAUGGGAUGCAGGACCAGAACUCAACUGGCCCUCCUGGUGCAUAUGGGAAGGAUCGGCUCCGGAAGGCCAAGGCCCUUGGCUUUGGGGCCUGGAGUCUCACCAAGGUAGCUAGUAGCUUGACUGGCCCCUCCUGCCAGAAGCUCUGCAGUGAGAGAGUCUUGGGGCAAAGUAAGGCAGCUGAUGCUGUGAAACUGCGAGUCCAAACCACGAGUAUCAAGGAAACCCAUGCCUUUCCAUUGUGGUACCUCUGCUGUCCUAGGCAACCAAGGAGGGAGGGACAUCCCACCACAUUAACAUGUAGCUCACGAGAGCCUGCAUAUCCUUUAUCUUCCCCAGGAGCCCGUGAACCCCUCUAAGGCAGGGAUAAUGCCCCUUGCGUUUCUGUACGCAGGGGGACCAACACAAUGCCAGGCAUGGGGCACUCGGAAAUGAUGGCCCCUAACCCUGCUCUGUUUCUUUCUCCACCUGCUCAUCUCCUGCUCCCUCCCUCUGUGAUGAAGGCCUGGCUGCCUGAGACUCAAUUGAGGCUGCAGCAUGACUAGCUGUGCGACUUUGGGCCAAUCACUUCACCUCUGGGAGAGUCACUUUCUCCCCAGGGGAUUGGUCACAGUAUCUACCUCAUAGACUAUGUGGGGUUCGAUAUAUGAUAUAUGGCUGAGACCCAUGCCUGGCACAGAGCAAGCUCCCCUGAAGUGUCAGCUACUGCCGUCAUUCGGAUGACCACUUCUUUUUUGAUUUAUUAGAUGGACUGUUUCCCAUUCUGUCUCCCUCGCAAAGCUCCACAGGCAAGGACUGGUGUCCCUUUUCUUCACUGAUGAAUCCCAAGCACCAAGAACUGUGCCAGGCCCCCGGUAAAUAUUUCUAAAAUAUAUAGAUGAACCUAAGUUCUUGGAUGGUAAUGGCCAUGUCGUCCCCUAUGUUAAAUGGGUCCGACAUCCUUACACCGUUGGGCCUUGUCUCCCAGUGCAGAUGAAAGUUCUCUGCUUUUUGUUGAAAAUAAUAGCUUCCAUUUAUAAAGUACUUUCACAUCUGUUUUCUCAUUGGAGCCUCCCAGUGUCCCGGUAAUAAAUUCCCAUGGUGCCUCUUGGAGGAGCACAUGCCCAGCAGCUCUGCAAAAAUAUCAGGACUUGAGGUUGAUGGUAAUGACAGCGUCCCGCCUCAUCUCACCUGUGAAAGGCCAUUUAUUACUUGAGGAGGCGGCGCCAGGCUGCCUAAUAGUUUUCAUUGCUUUACGUCGGGAUGAUUUUCUUGUUGCUGCUAGUCUGCUAAACAAACAAACAAAAAAAGACUACCUGCUUUUAAUUUGCUACCUCCCCCACUGCUAUUUUACAAUAUAUGUUUUUUUCUUGCCCAAUUAAGCAAACAGUACAUGUUCACCCUAGAAAAUCUGACUUAAAGAAUGAACGGUAUAAAGAAGAAAACUGAAAUCACCCACAGCCCCAUUCGGUGUUAGUACUUGCUUCGUAGGAAGUAUCUGAAGCAAAAUAUUACUCUUUUGCAGACGGAUGUGAGCGUGGCUUCUGGCCACAAUGAAUUCUGGGAGUGGAGAGCAGUCAAGGCCUGGGGGGAGGGGAGCUGGUGGCAGUAGUGAAGGAGUCUGAGCUGGAGGGUGGCUGAGAAUACAAAAGAGUGGGAGGCGUUCCCUGGUGGCCCAGUAGGUUAAUGACCUGGUGUUGUCACUGCUGUGGCUCAGGUCACUGCAGGGGCGCAGGUUUGAUUCCUGGCUCGGGAACUUCUGCAUGCCACGGGCAGGACUCCCCAAAAAGAGUGCACUGGGUACAGGUCCCAGUGGGUCGGCAAGGGACAAAGUGGGGAUCUGAUCCAAUGUGGCUGGCAGGGUGAAAGGUGUGCAUGCCCCUGUGGUUCCACCGACUGGGGUUUUUUAAGAGCAGGACGUGAGCUCCACUCUAGGGACAACAGCUGUUAGAAGGUUCCAGCAGACACGUGGGGGUCCCGGGCUCUGGAAGGGGCAGACACAGAAGCCUCGCAUCUGCAGUCAAAGAGAGGUCAAGCAAGAGCAUGGCUGCCCACAAGGUCCUGUUUUCUGGGUCCGUGUUGUCUCCCUAAUAGUGCAUCCGAGCUGGGACACAGGAGAGAAAUGUCUGUUCUGCCUUCUUCCAAGACUGGUGGGUGGGAGCAGAGCAACCGCAGGGUAACUGGUUCCCAGGUCUGCUCAAAUCAGUUGGCCUGGGGGCCACCAAUCAUGGCGACUGAGCUCAUAUUAGAAAUAACUGGUGUGUGGGGGGGUCAAGAUAAAAGCAGGUGGUAGCAGUUACUCUGGAGACAGGUAAGCCCAGUGUUUCAGGAAAGUGUGGACUGACGUCUCAAGAAUCCUACCGGCCCUCAGGUUAUAAUCUUUCCUAAUUGUACCUGGGCGAGGUCUGGGAAAAGUCACAGGGGCCACCUCAUGGCAGCCAUGAAAGUCCCUACCGUAUUGUACUUUUCCAUAUCCAGGUCUUUUCCACAGCUAAGGUUGCUUCCUGCUUCUGACCAGCUAGAGAUAUGGGCUGAGGCCCGAAGGUUCAAAAGAAGCCAGAAUCUGAAAGUCUCUUCUUUCAAAUUGCUCAUCUGUAGGGAGCUGCAUGUGUCUGAAUCCCAUUUUAAAUUCUUCAUACACAAGCGGUUCAUAUUCACAUAGUUCAUGCUGCACACGGUAUUACCGACAACCAAUAGAUCCCAUGUGCUCUCAUCAAUAAAAUUACCGCCUCGGCUCUUACAGGAAACUGAGCUGUUGCGAUCUUCUUUUGCUGUUUUAAUCGAUGCGAACCAGGGCAAGAAAAAACAGGGCCCUUAAUUAUAUAACCGGGAAGGAUUAUAUAACAAAGGUCCUGAUGCAACGUUAACUGUGUCUGUGCCAACGAGGGCUGAAAGAACACAUCUUUUUGGAAGUAACAUGAGCCGUCGAGAGUUGUGCAAACCAUCUUUCAAUAUUGGUUUAACUAAUCCCAUUUACUCACCACCAACAAAAAUCUCUGCUCCUCUAACCUUGUUUUUUCCACGGCACUGGAUGAAGCAACCCCAUUUCAGGGUGACGGUUUGUUAAAGUGACAGCGCACCAGCACGUGCAAGACAUACAGGGGGACGUGAGACGAGUGCAUCCAUUCCUCCGUGAGGCUGGUCUCCAGCGCCAGGCACAGCAAUGAUCACUUCGUAAGGGCUGCUAAGGCCACUUCUGGAUUUCGAAAUGGCAGGACGCUGAUCAUCUGUGACAGGAGCAUUUGCGCGGAGAGACUUUCGAGAGCCACACAGCACUUCUUUGUUGGCGGAGCCCAAGAAACAAUAAAAGUAACAACCAAAAUAACAAUAAUAAACCCCUCUUCCUUUCAAAGUGUGCUGCCAAGCAAACCGAUUGCUCUCUCUUCCUCCUUUACGUCUUCCUGAGAGAGAUGACAUUCCAGGCCACUCAGCACAAAGGACACGCACGCAACGUACCCUGUAGGUGACAUUGCUUGGAAC